rnacentral:lncRNA from 1 species
GGAGGUAAAGAAAGAGAGAUGAAUUAGUUAGUAGAUGGAAGCAAGGAGGAUUUUAGAUGAGUGGUGGUGGUGGUGAGAAGACGAAUCAGAGAAUUGUCUGCAUCCCUAUUAGCAUUGAAUUUCCAUGAAGUAUACAGAGGUUGAGCUGAUUGAAUCAGUGCCAAAUUAUUGAUGGUAGGGUGAUUGGUCUUAUAUAUGCAGACCCCAAAAAUGGAUGUCUCUAGUUAUUGUUCACUCUUCUCAGAUAGGUCUGGACUACGUACUGUGCUUGCCACAAUGAGGGAUUGAGAGAGAGAGAGAGAGAGAUCAUGGGCUCAGCUGCUUCAAACUUUCUGUGAUUGAAUAGCUGUUUAGUUACUUUGAUUUUUCAGCUUGCAGUUUCCAUUUGCAUAUACACCCUUUUUUCUUCUUAGAAAAAGUAGACCUCAUGCAUUAUGUCUUUAUGCUUUUGGAUUCACUCCCGCUUCUUUCUCCUAUUACUUUCACCAGAAUGCUACCAGAUGCCCUCACUUCUUCUUCAUUCUAGCUUACCUUCAUUCCCAACCGGGAACAAACCUUAUAAUAUUAAAUAAUAUUUCUUUUUGGAACCGUAUCUUCAAACAUGAAACACCAGCUAAUCUGUAGCCUCGUUGCUCUUGUUUUUUUUCUCUCUAUAAAGUUCCAUACCAACUACAAAUAACUAAAGUGGCCUCAAUUUUGCAGACAAAUAACUAAACUGGACUAAACAUAGUAACAAGACUAAACCAUAUCUAUUUUAUAAAGACCGGUUGCUGUGAGGGCAUCUUUUCUUUCCUUCCUAUUUUACACCCUCUGCAUUGAUUUCGCUGCCUAUACAAUGCACCACUUCAAAUCUUUACACUCAAAUUAGUACUAUGACCAAUUUCGAAAAGUAGCCUUAAGUGGUAUGCUCUAAGUAAGCUACACAUAGCAUAAUCAGGCACAGGCCCCAAGGGCACACUAACCAACACUGUUAGUGUUACCCUCCUUCCCAUCCUAUAUGCCCC